UACGUAGGCAGCGAGCGUUGUUCGGAGUUACUGGGCGUAAAGCGUGCGUAGACGGUUAUCUAAGUCGGAUGUGAAAGCCCCGGGCUCAACCUGGGAAUUGCAUUCGAGACUGAAUAGCUAGGGUGCGGUAGAGGGAAGCGGAAUUUCCGGUGUAGCGGUGAAAUGCGUAGAUAUCGGAAGGAACAUCAGUGGCGAAAGCGGCUUCCUGGACCAGCACCGACGUUCAGGCACGAAAGCGUGGGGAGCAAACAGG
rnacentral:rRNA from 1 species